ACGGGUGAGUAAUGUAUCGGAACGUGCCUAGUAGCGGGGGAUAACUACGCGAAAGCGUAGCUAAUACCGCAUACGCCCUACGGGGGAAAGCAGGGGAUCGCAAGACCUUGCACUAUUAGAGCGGCCGAUAUCGGAUUAGCUAGUUGGUGGGGUAACGGCUCACCAAGGCGACGAUCCGUAGCUGGUUUGAGAGGACGACCAGCCACACUGGGACUGAGACACGGCCCAGACUCCUACGGGAGGCAGCAGUGGGGAAUUUUGGACAAUGGGGGAAACCCUGAUCCAGCCAUCCCGCGUGUGCGAUGAAGGCCUUCGGGUUGUAAAGCACUUUUGGCAGGAAAGAAACGUCAUGGGUUAAUACCCCAUGAAACUGACGGUACCUGCAGAAUAAGCACCGGCUAACUACGUGCCAGCAGCCGCGGUAAUACGUAGGGUGCAAGCGUUAAUCGGAAUUACUGGGCGUAAAGCGUGCGCAGGCGGUUCGGAAAGAAAGAUGUGAAAUCCCAGAGCUUAACUUUGGAACUGCAUUUUUAACUACCGGGCUAGAGUGUGUCAGAGGGAGGUGGAAUUCCGCGU
rnacentral:rRNA from 1 species